rnacentral:lncRNA from 1 species
ACCUAACACAACUCUAUGAUUCGGUACGGGUUGCAAAGCCUCAAGCCGAAGAUUAGAGAAAAAGAGUUUUGAAUGAAUAUUCCGGAUUACAGAAUUAUGUUUUGUGACUUGGAAAGUCUAUUCUCAACCCGUUGUAACACUUCCGGACUUGGCAGAGGAAGGUCGUUUGGGCAUGUUUUUGUUUGAUUGUUGCCUGAAUGGUUGACCGAUGUCUAAAAAUGGUUCGGGGGUGUUACAGUACCUCUUCCUUCUGAUCGUGACGAUGAAUAUUUCUGGUGUGUGAAUGAAGUAGAACUGGAAAAUUUCUCGGCAAAGCACACUUGGGAUUCUUUACGGCCUCGAGGACCUGUACAGGAAUGGACUG